GUACACUCCUACGGGAGGCAGCAGUGGGGAAUUUUGGACAAUGGGCGAAAGCCUGAUCCAGCCAUGCCGCGUGCAGGAUGAAGGCCUUCGGGUUGUAAACUGCUUUUGUACGGAACGAAACGGCCUUUUCUAAUAAAGAGGGCUAAUGACGGUACCGUAAGAAUAAGCACCGGCUAACUACGUGCCAGCAGCCGCGGUAAUACGUAGGGUGUAAGCGUUAAUCGGAAUUACUGGGCGUAAAGCGUGCGCAGGCGGUUAUGUAAGACAGUUGUGAAAUCCCCGGGCUCAACCUGGGAACUGCAUCUGUGACUGCAUAGCUAGAGUACGGUAGAGGGGGAUGGAAUUCCGCGUGUAGCAGUGAAAUGCGUAGAUAUGCGGAGGAACACCGAUGGCGAAGGCAAUCCCCUGGACCUGUACUGACGCUCAUGCACGAAAGCGUGGGGAGCAAACAGGAUUAGAUACCCCAGUAGUCCC
rnacentral:rRNA from 1 species